rnacentral:lncRNA from 1 species
UCUCUCUUAGUCCGACACGAACUCUGUAAUUUUGACUUGAAAAGUUUGAAGCUAAUGAAAUUUUAGGACAAGUUCAUACUUGGGAAUUAAAUCUUCCUUGAAUUCAAAUAUAAGUCACACGCGUCGCGCAUAGUUUGUGCUAAACUCACCAAGUCAUAAUUAUUAUGCGGCCGAUCUCUCGAAUAAAUUCUACAAGAUAGA